GUCUACACCCAUCCCACCCUGAACACACCCAGUCUCACUGAUUCCGGAGGCUAAGUAGCGUCUGGCCUGGUUAGUAUGUGGUUGGAAGAUUCAAGCAAACACAGAGACUUAUGAGUUCCAGUGGGACUAGGUU
rnacentral:rRNA from 1 species